GAUUAACGCUGGCGGUGUGUAUAAUACAUGCAAGUCGAACGAGGCUUCGGCCUAGUGGCGGACGAGUGAGUAACACGUUGGAACCUGCCCCGAACUCAGGGAUAAGCACUGGAAACGGUGUCUAAUACCGGAUAGUCCCGCAAGGGUAAAGAUUUUUCGGUUCGGGAGGGGCCUGCGGCCUAUCAGCUUGUUGGUGAGGUAAUAGCUCACCAAGGCUACGACGGGUAGAUGGUCUGAGAGGAUGAUCAUUCACGAUGGGACUGAGACACGGCCCAU
rnacentral:rRNA from 1 species